UUAGAAUUUUAACCCUUCCCGAGUUCUAUCCUCAGUCCUCUCAACCCUCACACCCUAUCGACCAACCACCUGCGACGGCCAUCACCUCCGGCAUCUGACAGCGACACACACCGACGGCGACCGGCGAGCUUGCAGCGGCGAAAAGUCACUCUCACCAGCACUUGCAGCAGCGUCCGACAGUGAAAAGAUUCACCAGCACUUGCAGCGGUGGACGGCGAGCUUGUAGUGGCACUCGGCACUCGGCACUCGGCAUUGGGCAUUGGCGAGCAAGCCCACUGUCAACUUCUUGGAGCAGCACUUGCAGGCUUGCAGUGGCAACUUGCCUGCAACCAAGCCUGACUGCCCGAGCCCACUAGAGAACUUGAUUAGGCAACUUCUUGAACUUGUUUGUUAACUUUUUGGUUGUCGAAUUCAGUUGUUUUAAGGGCAAUUAUUAGCCUGGUUUUGGGGGAAUCUCAACUAUCAAUUUGUGAUGAUCCCCAAAUUGAAGCUAAUGGUGGUAAAAUGGGAAACGAAAAGAAAUCUUCCCCAUUAAAAUGGAAUGAAAGUUCUCUGAACAAGAAAGAGAAGUUUUUUUUUCUAAUGGUUUUGAUGACUGGGAGGAUCUGUAGACAUUUGUAACUACACUGGAAAAGGUUGAACCCUGGAUUUUCUCCCGAAUAAUUGAAUUUUCAGAUUUUUCUAGAUUAAGCAUCCUGAAUUACUGCUAGCUUUUUUACCUGGCUUUCUGUUUGUUUCUCCAUACUCUAACACCAUACAUGCAGUCUGCCACCGGGAUAGCAAAUGCUAAAGUAAUGGCAUCAAACUCAGGGAGUUUGGGUGACCAAGAACAAGGGAACUUUUCUUUACACAUUUGGAAAGAAGCUUUCAAGGAUGCUUGUGAAAAGCUUUGCCCUGUUCGAGCUGGAGGCCAUGAGCGUGGUUGUUUACCUGUGCUGGCUAGACUGGUAGUCUAUAUUUUCAUUAUCUGUUACUAAUGUACUUGCACAAAUCAAGUGCCCCAGCUGCCAUUUGUAAUUGGCCUUUAUUAUCCGGUGCUAAUCUGGGUGCAUAAGCAUUAAGCAUUGUAUGGAUUGACCAUUGCACGGAUGUUGUUAAGUGAUAGUUUAAGCAUGGACCCUUUUACAUGUAGAGUGAACAUGGAAUUCCUUUAUAAGUAGCCCCCUUUUUUAUAUGUUUCUAGAA